GGAGAGGUGCCCGAGCGGCUGAAGGGGCUCGCCUGGAAAGCGAGUGUACCGUGUUAAACGGUACCGUGGGUUCGAAUCCCACCCUCUCCG
rnacentral:tRNA from 1 species